GAGUAAUCAGGAAGUACCAGCCAUUUUUGGAGACGUCUUGUUAAGUUGGCUUUUUCCAACACAGUUUGUCAGGGACAGGUUCCUCCUCUGCGAGACACUAUGACAUUCAUGACACAAUUCUUCAACAAAGAUUGAUUCACAAUGACGGGUGCAGGUUGCUGUUCCACUUAAGACAACACGUAUGCAUGGUCACAAUUCUUUGAACUCUUGGAAGAAUGUUCAUGACUUUGCACAUGAUCUUGCAGUGAGGCAUAUGUGUGAUGGUACUUCAUGUGCCUUUUCAUUUGGCAAAGGGUUUAUGCUUUCUCUAUUAAAGCAGUGAUGGGAUUACAUUUUCCUAUUCUCUGAUAUGGACAAUAUAUAUGGGUUUUCCCUGCUAUCUGAAAGUGGAGCAUUCUUGUGAAACCUUUCUUAAACCAACAUGGCAUAAAGCAAAGAAGCAAUCACCAUUAAUUUAUAUGGGAAAAUUUUUUCAGUGUUCCCAGAAGCAAAAAGUAACCUACAAAUUCAUACCAAAUAACACAUAAAACCUAAAAAUAACAGUAACAUAUAGUAAAAGCAGGAAUUAUAUGAUAAACACACAGCCUGUAUAAAGUAGAAAUAUUGGAGGUACACUCUACUUUCACUUACCAGAAUUGGGAAGACAGCAAGCACACUGGAAGAGCGACAGGUGGUGGUGGAGAUGUUGGUGUGUUAGGCCAGGUCGUCAGAAGUCAGGGUGGUGGGAAGUACAGGAGAUGGGAUGUAGGAGAGAGAGGAAGAGCGUCAUCUAUUAACAUGUCACCAUCAUCUGAAUCCAUCAGGGCAGGCAAGUCACUAACGUCUAUAUUUUCUUCUCUGUCUUCCUGCCUCCGUGUCCAAGGUUGAGGUUUCUCCCCUGUUGUGGCUGAUGCGAAAGUGUUGAAAUAUGACAGCAUGCUUGACUGCCUUCAUCUCUGGUGGAUCUCAUUUCUCCUUCACCAUUAUCACCUCCAUUGUUGACAUAAGAAAACUGAAGCUGAGCUCAGAAAGACAAAAAUACAGGGACCUUGUGCCUUACAAAUGGCCGAUAAAUGAGACAAGUGAUUUGCUUCGGGGAAACUAAUAAGACCAGGCACCUUACUGUCUUCAGUUUUUGACAUGGGAAAGACCCCGCCCAGAAGAGUCUGCAGGGGCAAAAUUAUCACUCACAAGAUCACGGUCCCCUGUGAAGAAGAAGGCUGCCAAUUUGAGCCAAAAUAAGAGUUCAUCGAGAAUCACCACAGGCACAGCCUUCCCACAGGGGUGAUCUGAGAAGACAGACACUUUGUGCCAUGGAGCUUAACGUUCACAUAGGCGGAAGGGAGACAGCCUGGUUGCAUUACAUUGUACCUCAUUCCUCUCUCGAAUUGUCUUGCAAAGAGCAUCUCCUCUCCAGGUAGCUGCUGUAAUUAGUAUAUUAUUAUCUUGUCAUUGUUCAAAUCUGGUUUGCUAAAUCGUUCUGAACUUCCCUGACAGUCUGGUGAUGUAAGGUCAGAAAAUAACAUUUCAUACUUGUCUUAGGCCAAUUUUCCUAGAAGCAAAGCCUCAGAAGAGGAUUUGAAUGCUUAAAGUCAGCCUGAUUCCCACAGGGAGCUCUGGAGCAUUCAGGGCCCAGAGACAAGGUCCCACCUUGAGGCAAAGAGGGUGGUCAUUUUUACCCUUUUAUCAGUAAGCUGCCAGCUGUCCCCAGAAAUUGUGUACAAGUGAGGCAACUCAUAGAUCAUGGGCAAUUCUCAGGGUAAGGAAGGCAGUAGUGAGCUGCAAGCAGCCAAUACUCACAGCAGUGGGGGAUGGGUGCACCGUAGGUAGAGGGCAACUUAGAAUAUUUAUUAAUAACUAUCCAUCCAUAGCCCCUUUCUGAGGAGUAAUCCUUCAUCUAGAUCAGAAAUCUGUCCGGUUAUCCCAGGUAAAAAGAAAAAACAACAGCUUCCAAUGUUAGAUAUUAACUCUUUAAUUACCAUUUGCUGUUUCAAAUGCAAUGUAAAUAUGAAUUUCUUUAAUCCUCAUAACAACCUAGCAAUUUAAGUGCUAUUGUUAUUUCCAUUUUAUUGGUGAAAAAACUGAGGCAUUAAAAGCUUAGGAAAUUUGCCCAAAGUACGCAGCAGAGGCAUGCUUGAGUCUAGGCAGCUGGCUCCAGAAUCCUUAUUCUUAACCACUUGGCUAUGAGACACCAACUGGAUGCCCACCACUUUGAGGGUAAGUACAUCAUCAUAAAACCUCGCUCCAUGCUUUACACAUAGUAGAUGCCCAUUUUAUGUUGGCUAAAUGAACCAAGUGAAUGAAGAGAAACAAGGUGGAUAAAAAUAUGAAUCCCUUUGAUCUUGUUCACAUCAGCUUUCACGAUACAACAAAACGUCCUAAAACUUUGUGGCUUAAAACAGCAAACAUCAAUUUAGCUCUCAGUUCUGGGGGUUAGCCCAUGUUGCUAACAGCCUUGCAGUUCUCCUGUUCUUGCUGGGCUCAUUCUCGCAGUCUGUGGUCAGCUGCCAGUUAUCUAGGCAGCUCCACCUCUUGCAUCGGUCGUCUAAAAGCUGGAGUGACGAGGUAAGUGGGCCAUGUGUCUCUUAUCAUCUAGCUGGCUAUCCUGGGCUUGUUUAACUAGCAUUUUGGAAGUGUUCCAACAUGGAGAAUAAAAGCACGUAAGGGGUCUUGAAGCCUAUACUA
rnacentral:lncRNA from 1 species